UACGGAGGGUGCAAGCGUUGUUCGGAAUCAUUGGGCGUAAAGCGCGUGUAGGCGGCUUGGCAAGUCAGUUGUGAAAGCCCGGGGCCCAACCCCGGAACUGCAUCUGAAACUGCCUAGCUAGAGUCCCGGAGAGGAAGGCAGAAUUCCCGGUGUAGGGGUGAAAUCCGUAGAUAUCGGGAGGAAUACCAGCGGCUAAGGCGGCCUUCUGGACGGUGACUGACGCUGAGACGCGAAAGCGUGGGGAGCAAACAGG
rnacentral:rRNA from 1 species